rnacentral:rRNA from 1 species
GAUGAACGCUGACAGAAUGCUUAACACAUGCAAGUCAACUUGAAUUUGGGUUUUUAACUUAGGGUUGGGUGGCGGACGGGUGAGUAACGCGUAAAGAACUUGCCUCACAGCUAGGGACAACAUUUGGAAACGAAUGCUAAUACCUAAUAUUAUGAUAAUAGGGCAUCCUAUAAUUAUGAAAGCUAUAAGCGCUGUGAGAGAGCUUUGCGUCCCAUUAGCUAGUUGGAGAGGUAACGGCUCACCAAGGCGAUGAUGGGUAGCCGGCCUGAGAGGGUGAUCGGCCACAAGGGGACUGAGACACGGCCCUUACUCCUACGGGAGGCAGCAGUGGGGAAUAUUGGACAAUGGACCGAGAGUCUGAUCCAGCAAUUCUGUGUGCACGAUGAAGUUUUUCGGAAUGUAAAGUGCUUUCAGUUGGGAAGAAACAAAUGACGGUACCAACAGAAGAAGUGACGGCUAAAUACGUG